GGAGGGAUGACCGAACUGGCUAAGGAGCCGGUCUCGAAAACCGGUACGGCCCACAAGGCCCUGGGGGUUCGAGUCCCCCUCCCUCCG
rnacentral:tRNA from 1 species